rnacentral:rRNA from 1 species
AUUGAACGCUGGCGGCAUGCCUAACACAUGCAAGUCGAGCGGAUGAAGGGAGCUUUCUCCUGGAUUCAGCUGCGGACGGGUGAGUAAUGCCUAGGAAUCUGCCUGGUCUUGGGGGAUAACGUCCGGAAACGGGCGCUAAUACCGCAUACGUCCUGAUGUAGAAAGGGGUGGAUCUUCGGACCUCACGCUAUCAGAUGAGCCUAGGUCGGAUUAGCUAGUUGGUUGGGUAAAGGCCUACCAAGGCGACGAUCCGUAACUGGUCUGAGAGGAUGAUCAGUCACACUGGAACUGAGACACGGUCCAGACUCCUACGGGAGGCAGCAGUGGGGAAUAUUGGACAAUGGGCGAAAGCCUGAUCCAGCCAUGCCGCGUGUGUGAAGAAGGUCUUCGGAUUGUAAAGCACUUUAAGUUGGGAGGAAGGGAAGUAAGUUAAUACCUUGCUGUUUUGACGUUACCAACAGAAUAAGCACCGGCUAACUUCGUG